rnacentral:rRNA from 1 species
AUUGAACGCUGGCGGCAUGCUUUACACAUGCAAGUCGAACGGUAACAGGGUGCUUGCACCGCUGACGAGUGGCGAACGGGUGAGUAAUGCGUCGGAACGUGCCGAGUAGUGGGGGAUAACGCAGCGAAAGUUGUGCUAAUACCGCAUACGUACUGAGGUAGAAAGUGGGGGACCUUCGGGCCUCACGCUAUUCGAGCGGCCGACGUCUGAUUAGCUAGUAGGUGAGGUAAAGGCUCACCUAGGCGACGAUCAGUAGCGGGUCUGAGAGGAUGGUCGGCCACAAGGGGACUGAGACACGGCCCAGACUCCUACGGGAGGCAGCAGUGGGGAAUUUUGGACAAUGGGCGAAAGCCUGAUCCAGCCAUGCCGCGUGUCUGGAGAAGGCCUUCGGGUUGUAAAGGACUUUUGUCAGGGAGGAAAUCCCUAGUGCUAAUAACACCGGGGGAUGACAGUACCUGAAGAAUAAGCACCGGCUAACUACGUGCCAGCAGCCGCCGUAA